rfam:Bacillus subterraneus strain MITOT1 contig_88, whole genome shotgun sequence.
CAUACCGAACACGGAAGUUAAGCUUCUCAGCGCCGAUGGUAGUUGGGGGUCUCCCCCUGUGAGAGUAGGACGCCGCCGGGC